UUGAAGAAUGGGGGGGAUUGGAGAAUAGGGUUUCAAAUAAGUAACCUCAAGAACGUUAGGCUUUGUUAGCAACUAUAGAGAAAAGGAAAUUACUAAAAUAAGCUUUGCCAGAACCUCCUGAUGGUUACUGAUAUGACUGAACAAAGUGAUGAAGAAAUAACCACCAGGGGUCUGAAAGCCCACUACCACAUUUUUGUGUGCAUACAGGAGGCAUUCUCUAAAAGUAUGAUGUAAUGUGUGUAAUCUAAUGAAUAUGUAUGUUUAAGGACAAUAUAAUCACAGCCUGAUUGAUGCUUCGGAGAGACAUGCUUGGAGGAGAGAUCCCCUGUGUCUCACAGCACCACAAUAAAGAAUGCCUACUUGUCAACUUAAAAGUUUGUUGGCAAGUUCCUGGAGAUUUCUUCAAAUCAAUUUGGCACCCCAGAUGGGACACUCUGUGCUUGGCUGCAGGACCCACUGAGGACAGGGCUCCCUAGGGCCUCUGGGACAAAUUUCCCCAGAGAGACCCUUCAACUCACUCAGAUCACUGCAGGAGCAGACAGGGACCAUCACCAUCACUGUAAAGAAAAUUAAUGAGAACCUUCCUGAAACAGAAGAAGUCUUUAACCAUGUAUAUCCAGGAGUAUGGGCAUCUGAAAUUCCAGGUAAGGCAAAAAAUGCUUUGCCUAUUAAAGUAGAAACAAAAAGGAGGGCCCGUCCAGUUAGAAUAUGGAGGAUUAGUUAAAAUUCGAGGAUUGGAAGGGAAUCAAAGAAAUCAUUGAUAAAUGUUUAAAAUAUGGCUUAUUAAUUGAAUGUGAGUAAGAAUGUAAUACUUCUAUCCUGCCAGUAAAGAAAUCUGAUGGGAAAAAUUGCAGAUUAGUUCAAGAUCUCAGAGCAAUCAUCAAAAUUGUGGAGGAUAUUCAUCCAGUAGUAGCUAAUCCAUAUACCUUAUUGACUAAAUUGAAUAUCAAAAGUGGUUUACCAUUCUGGACUUAAAGGAUGCAUUUUUCUGUCUGCCCCUGGACAAAGAAAGUCAAAAUUUCUUUGCUUUUGAAUGGGAAAACCCUGAAACAGGAAGAAGGACACAGCUCACUUGGACGGUGUUACCUCAGGGCUUUAAAACCAGUCCAACCAUUUUUGGAAAUCAGUUGGCGUGAGAAUUAGAAUCCUGGGAAGCACCCACACAGGCAAGUACUUUACUACAAUAUGUUGAUGACCUAUUAAUUGCUACCGAAACUGAAAAAGAAUGUGUUCAAUGGACUGUAGAAUUGUUAAGCUUACUAGGGCUAAAUGGAUACCGGGUAUCUAAAUUGAAGGCUCAACUAAUUUGAACUCGAGUGUCUUAUUUAGGGUAAGAAAUAACAGGAGGACAGCAAGAACUUGAAGCAGCUUGGAAGGAAGCAAUCUGCCAAAAACUACAACCAGCCACAGUUAAAGAUCUUAGGACAUUUCCAGGAAUGACAGGAUGGUGUCAACUCUGGACCCAUGUUUAUGGUGUUCUGAGACAGUAUAUUCGAGCCAACCAGAUCUGAAGGAGGAGCCUCUGGAGAGUGCAGAUUCCUGGUUCACCGAUGGCAGCAGCUUUGUUAAAGAGGGUAAACGAAGAGCAGGAUAUGCCAUAACUACAACUUCAAAGGUAAUAGAAGCUAAACUGUUACCCUCUAACACCUCAGCACAAAAGGUAGAAAUAAUAGACCUGGCUAGAGCCUUGGAGUUGGCAAAGGAUAAGCAGAUAAACAUAUGGACUGACUCCAAAUAUGCCUUUGGUGUAGUUCAUGCACAUGGAGCAAUUUAGAAAGAAUGAGGACUUUUAAAUACUCAGGGAAGACAAAUUAAACAUGCAACAGAAAUUCUACCAUUGUUAGAAGCUGUACAAUUACCAAAUGAAGUGGCUAUCAUACAUUGUAAAGGACAUCAAAGAGGUAACUCUGGUCAAGAGACUGGAAAUAAUUUGGCUGAUCGUGAGGCUAAAUGGGCAGCAGAAACAGAAAGAGUUGAGGUGAUGUCUUUAGUUCCUGACAGUAAACUGGUAAUUGGGCAAAAUAAACCUAGGUACUCUAAAGAAGGUACAAAAGUAAUUGAAGACUU